ACCCCACCGGGAGCAAGACCAAAUAGGGAGACGAUGCCGCGACCCGCGGUGUCUCCGGGUAGGUUGCUUGAGCGCAGCGGUGACGUUGCGCCUAGAGGAAUGACUGUCCACGACAGAACCCGGCUUACAGGCCGACUCUGCCA
rnacentral:RNase_P_RNA from 1 species